rnacentral:rRNA from 1 species
UAAGGAAUAUUGGUCAAUGGACGCAAGUCUGAACCAGCCAUGCCGCGUGGAGGAUGAAGGCCCUCUGGGUUGUAAACUUCUUUUAUUUGGGACGAAAAAAGGGAAUUCUUUCCCGUCUGACGGUACCAGAUGAAUAAGCACCGGCUAACUCCGUGCCAGCAGCCGCGGUAAUACGGAGGGUGCAAGCGUUAUCCGGAUUUACUGGGUUUAAAGGGUGCGCAGGCGGAUAUGUAAGUCAGUGGUGAAAUCUCUAGGCUUAACCUGGAAAUUGCCGUUGAUACUAUAUAUCUUGAAUGCUGUGGAGGUAAGCGGAAUAUGUCAUGUAGCGGUGAAAUGCUUAGAUAUGACAUAGAACACCUAUUGCGAAGGCAGCUUACUACGCAGAUAUUGACGCUCAUGCACGAAAGCGUGGGGAUCAAAC